GACGAACGCUGGCGGCGUGCCUAAUACAUGCAAGUCGAACGCAGUGGGGACGGGUGAGUAACACGUGGGUAACCUCCCAUCAGAGGGGAUAACACUUGGAAACAGGUGCUAAACCGAUACUGGUGGAUGGACCCUCGGUGCAUUAGCUAGGUGGUGAGGUAAUGGCUCAAAAAGGCCACGAGGCAUAGCCGACCUGAGAGGUUGAUGGGGAACAGUGGGCAUAAGACACGGCCCAGACGCCCACGGGAGGCAGCAGAAGGGAAUGUUCGGAAAUGGACGAAAGUGGGAACAGGCAACUCCGGGUGAGUGAAGAAGGUUUUGGGAUCGUAAAACUUGGUUGUUUGUGAAGCGGUAUCUAACCAGAAAGCCACGGCUAACUACGUGCCAGCCGCCGCGGUAAUAC
rnacentral:rRNA from 1 species